rnacentral:lncRNA from 1 species
GUUUAGCCAGGUGGUGUUUCACCCAGGCCUGGAGUGAGCCAGGUGGGAGCUGUUAGCAAUUAAAGAAGAGUAAAUGGUCUUGAUCAACAGUCACUCUCAAAUACCUCUGAAUCAAGCCUGUGGGUUUUUUUUUUGGCAGCUGAAGGAUUGAGAUACCUACAGUGGGUAUGGGGUACAACUGCAACAACCACAUAGCUCUUCUGUGGAUGGCUCCUACUACCUAGAGAAGGCUGGGAAAUACUGGAAUUUCUUCAUGCUUUUACUCUAAACAGAUCCAAUUUUCGAAGAUGAGAAUAGAGGCAAUGGAAGUGAAGUGAACAACAUCAUGGCAUCAGCUUUCACCCUGGCAUAAGGUGAUUAAAUCACCAUCUCAGUGACAAGAUGCAUCGUUGCUGUUGGGAGAAGACAAGUUCAACCUGGCUGCCUCCUAGUACGAGUGCAACUUGGAGGAACCCAGUUACUUCCUGAGAUGGAGUUUUUGUGUGGCUGAACUUUUUUGUUGUCCGCAAUACUGGCUAUAUAUGGAAGAAGAUAAUUUUUUACACACCUUCAGCUGUUGCAGGUGGAGCAAUGGACAUUGUUAAGAAUGCUGAUUUACAAGUGGAACAAAUCUCAAGGCAAAUAUUGUGCUGUGGAGCAGCAAAAUGUGUUAUUUUCAAGCAGAAAGAUUAGAUGAGAAUCUGACUUCUGGUAUACCGUGGGCAGGAUGAGCAUAAAUCCAAUGGGAGAAGAGUUCCAUUCCUAUCCAACCAAUUGCUGUAAGUCCACAGUUAAAACAGCAAUAUAAUUUUGAGAACCUGAUGUAUUUUGCUUGUGACUCCCAUGAUUGACUUAGAAGAGGAGGAAUGCAGAAAUACAUGUAUUAUUUGAAAUACAACAUAAAUAUGUAGUAGUUAGAAAAAAGUAAUAUAACAAAAUGUUUUUAUUUAUACAAGAUGUGAAUUUGUACUGAAAAACAACAAC